rnacentral:rRNA from 1 species
GAUGAACGCUGGCGGCGUGCCUAAUACAUGCAAGUCGAGCGAACAGACGAGGAGCUUGCUCCUCUGACGUUAGCGGCGGACGGGUGAGUAACACGUGGAUAACCUACCUAUAAGACUGGGAUAACUUCGGGAAACCGGAGCUAAUACCGGAUAAUAUAUUGAACCGCAUGGUUCAAUAGUGAAAGACGGUUUUGCUGUCACUUAUAGAUGGAUCCGCGCCGCAUUAGCUAGUUGGUAAGGUAACGGCUUACCAAGGCGACGAUGCGUAGCCGACCUGAGAGGGUGAUGGGCCACACUGGAACUGAGACACGGUCCAGACUCCUACGGGAGGCAGCAGUAGGGAAUCUUCCGCAAAGGGCGAAAGCCUGACGGAGCAACGCCGCGUGAGUGAUGAAGGUCUUCGGAUCGUAAAACUCUGUUAUUAGGGAAGAACAAAUGUGUAAGUAACUAUGCACGUCUUGACGGUACCUAAUCAGAAAGCCACGGCUAACUACGUG